CAUUAUCUCCUCUAAGAGAUCUCUUAGUCGCAUCGUGUGUUUGUCUAAGGCUACAGCAAUCAUCCACACUCAUGUAGGCAUCACAAAAGAAUCUCCACCAUUGCCACCACCAAUCAUAAAGAUGUCCAAUGUUGCAGCAAACCGCACAAAUCACAAGACGGAACUGCAAAGCAAAACGAUGGAUGGUUACAUUCAAAAGGCAUAGCCAUGGCCAUCACCACCACCUCCGCCAUCAGCAAACAACAGCAACAACAACAACAGAAUCAUCAUCAACAGCGUCAUCAUCAUUCAUUUGUCCAUAUGUCUAAGAGCUUACAUAAUAGUCUGCUGAUCCUGUGAUGUGAUGACUGCUGGCUGACUGAAUGGUCUUUUGGGGGAGGCAAUUUACCUCCGAGAGCAUUGCCAUAAUCACUGCACCAGCAGAAAACGGAAAAGGCCAAUCUUUUCUUUUCUUUUUGUCCGAAGACAUCUGAAAAUUCUUGGCUAUAUUCUUUGGAGGAUUUUU
rnacentral:sRNA from 1 species